UACAGAGGGUGCGAGCGUUAAUCGGAAUUACUGGGCGUAAAGCGCACGUAGUCGGCUUUGCAAGUCGGGUGUGAAAUCCCCGGGCUCAACCUGGGAACUGCAUCCGAGACUGCAUUGCUAGAGUAUGGGAGAGGGAAGCGGAAUUUCUGGUGUAGCAGUGAAAUGCGUAGAUAUCAGAAGGAACACCGGUGGCGAAGGCGGGUCUCUGGGCAGUAACUGACGCUGAGGAGCGAAAGCGUGGGGAGCGAACAGG
rnacentral:rRNA from 1 species